AGUCGAACGGCAGCACGGACUUCGGUCUGGUGGCGAGUGGCGAACGGGUGAGUAAUGUAUCGGAACGUGCCUAGUGAGGAUAACUACGCGAAAGCGUAGCUAAUACCGCAUACGCCCUUCAGGGAAAGCGGGGACCUUCGGGCCUCGCACUAUUAAGAGCGGCCGAUAUCGGAUUAGCUAGUUGGUGGGGCUUUAACAGCUCACCAAGGCGAUCCGUAGCUGGUUUGAGAGGACGACCAGCCACACUGGGACUGAGACACGGCCCAGACUCCUACGAGGCAGCAGUGGGGAAUUUUGGACAAUGGAAACCCUGAUCCAGCCAUCCCGCGUGUGCGAUGAAGGCCUUCGGGUUGUAAAAGCACUUUUGGCAGGAAAGAAGCUUGGCACGGGAUAAUACCCCACUGCAACUGACAGUACCUGCAGGAUAAGCGCCGGUAACUACGUGCCAGCAGCCGCGGUAAUACGUAGGGUGCAAGCGUUAAUCGGAAUUACUGGGCGUAAAGCGUGCGCAGGCGGUUCGGAAAGAAGAUGUGAAAUCCCGGAAGCUUAACUUUGGAAUUCAUUUUUAACUACCGAGCUAGAGUGUGUCAGGGAGGUGGAAUUCCGCGAUGUGGCAGUGAAAUGCGUAGAUAUGCGGAGGAACACCGAUGGCGAAGGCAGCUUCUCCUGGGAUAACACUGACGCUCAUGCACGAAAGCGUGGGGGAGCAAACAGGAUUAGAUACCCUGGUAGUCCACGCCCUAAACGAUAUCAACUGGCUGUUGGGGCCUUCCGGGCCUUGGUAGCGCAACUAACGUGAAGUUGACCGCCUGGGGAGUACGGUCGCAAGAUUAAAACUCAAAAGAUUGACGGGGACCACGCAGCGGUGGAUGAUGUGGAUUAAUUCGAUGCAACGCGAAAAACCUUACCUACCCUUGACAUGUCUGGAAUCCCGAAAGAGAUUUAGAGUGCUCGCAAG
rnacentral:misc_RNA from 1 species